AAGUGUGUGGUGAGGAAGCAAAGUAUUGUGGACUAGAGUUUCUGACCAUUUGGUUGAAGACACAACCCUUGGCUGUCUGAGCACACUU